AAGUGUGAGGACAAGCUGGCUGUGUUAUCUGUCACCUCACUGAUGUCCAGGGUGACUUCAGCUGAUUGGCUAGCUGGGCAGGUGUCCCCUUCCUUCCUCAUGCCCCAUGUAUGUCUCUCCAGUAGCUGCCUGCUGGUGAAAGAGAAAAAGCUUCCCUGAAGAAAGAAGUACUGGUCUUUGGUCAAGGGUAUAAGAGUAGCUGNUAAAACCUUCAGAAAGCUCUCAGAACAUAUAUUUAAAUUAUGUUGCUUAAUUUUCAAUAAAUGUCUAACACCAAAGAACUAGUGUAGUAGUUCCUU
rnacentral:snRNA from 1 species